rnacentral:rRNA from 1 species
GACGAACGCUGGCGGCGUGCCUAAUACAUGCAAGUAGAACGCUGAAGGAGGAGCUUGCUUCUCCGGAUGAGUUGCGAACGGGUGAGUAACGCGUAGGUAACCUGCCUGGUAGCGGGGGAUAACUAUUGGAAACGAUAGCUAAUACCGCAUAACAGUAGAUGUUGCAUGACAUUUGCUUAAAAGGUGCAAUUGCAUCACUACCAGAUGGACCUGCGUUGUAUUAGCUAGUUGGUGAGGUAACGGCUCACCAAGGCGAAGAUACAUAGCCGACCUGAGAGGGUGAUCGGCCAAACUGGGACUGAGACACGGCCCAGACUCCUACGGGAGGCAGCAGUAGGGAAUCUUCGGCAAUGGACGGAAGUCUGACCGAGCAACGCCGCGUGAGUGAAGAAGGUUUUCGGAUCGUAAAGCUCUGUUGUAAGAGAAGAACGAGUGUGAGAGUGGAAAGUUCACACUGUGACGGUAUCUUACCAGAAAGGGACGGCUAACUACGUG